UACGUAGGGACCAAGCGUUGUUCGGAUUUACUGGGCGUAAAGGGCGCGUAGGCGGCGUGACAAGUCACUUGUGAAAUCUCCGGGCUUAACUCGGAACGGUCAAGUGAUACUGUCGUGCUAGAGUGCAGAAGGGGCAAUCGGAAUUCUUGGUGUAGCGGUGAAAUGCGUAGAUAUCAAGAGGAACGCCUGAGGUGAAGACGGGUUGCUGGGCUGACACUGACGCUGAGGCGCGAAAGCUAAGGGAGCAAACGGG
rnacentral:rRNA from 1 species